rnacentral:rRNA from 1 species
AUUGAACGCUGGCGGCAGGCCUAACACAUGCAAGUCGAACGAUUGGCGGACGGGUGAGUAAUGUCUGGGAAACUCCCUGAUGGAGGGGGCUAACUACUGGAAACGGUAGCUAAUACCGCAUACCAUCAGAUGUGCCCAGAUGGGAUUAGGUAGUUGGUGGGGAAACGGCUCAACAAGGCGACGAUCCCUAGCUGGUCUGAGAGGAAUACCAGCAAGACGGGAACGGAGACACGGUCCAGACACCUACGGGCGGCAGCAGUGAGGAAUAUUGCACAAUGGGCGCGAGCCUGAUGCAGCCAUGCCGGGUGUAUGAAGAAGGCCUGCGGGUUGUAAAGAACUUUCAGCGGGGAGGCGUUACCCGCAGAAGAAGCACCGGCUAACUCCGUGCCAGCAGCCGCGGUAAAC